CGGGUGAGUAUAAUGUGGGAAUCUGCCUUUUGGUUCGGAAUAACACGAGGAAACUUGUGCUAAUACCGGAUAAGCCUUUACAGGGAAAGUUUUAAUGCCAAAAGAUGAGCCCGCACUUGAUUAGCUAGUUGGUAAGGUAAUAGCUUACCAAGGCAACGAUCAAUAGCUGUUCUUAGAGGAAGACCAGCCACAUUGGGACUGAGACACGGCCCAAACUCCUACGGGAGGCAGCAGUGGGGAAUCUUGCACAAUGGGGGAAACCCUGAUGCAGCGAUGCCGCGUGAGUGAAGAAGGCCUUUGGGUUGUAAAACUCUUUCGUCGGGGAAGAAAAUGACUGUACCCGAAUAAGAAGGUCCGGCUAACUUCGUGCCAGCAGCCGCGGUAAUACGAAGGGACCUAGCGUAGUUCGGAAUUACUGGGCUUAAAGAGUUCGUAGGUGGUUAAAAAAGUUGAUGGUGAAAUCCCAAGGCUCAACCUUGGAACUGCCAUCAAAACUUUUUAGCUAGAGUAUGAUAGAGGAAAGUGGAAUUUCUAGUGUAGAGGUGA
rnacentral:rRNA from 1 species